rnacentral:rRNA from 1 species
UACGGAGGGUGCAAGCGUUAUCCGGAUUCACUGGGUUUAAAGGGUGCGUAGGCGGACAGGUAAGUCAGUGGUGAAAUCUCCGUGCUUAACAUGGAAACUGCCAUUGAUACUAUGGGUCUUGAAUUAUCUGGAGGUUAGCGGAAUAUGUCAUGUGGCGGUGAAAUGCUUAGAUAUGACAUAGAACACCAAUUGCGAAGGCAGCUGGCUACAGGUACAUUGACACUGAGGCACGAAAGCGUGGGGAUCAAACAGG